UUACAUCCGUUGAAUAAAAGUUACUUUUACCUGGGAUGCAAAAGGAAACCCUCCCUGUGCUUCCUGCUGCCUUUGUGGCAGUACAUCAUAGGAAGUACAUCU
ensembl:snoRNA LOC120098359 small nucleolar RNA SNORA31